GGCCGAUGAUGCUGGUCGAUGUGGAAAAAAUAACUGAGUUGUUUGGUGGUGGAGCUACAACAGAGGGCAGCUAUCCACCGGUGUGUGACAGAAAGGACAUGCCGCGAACGAGACAUACAAGGCGGUGAGGCUACUGCCGAUCGUCCGGUGUUUGCUAACGCGGAGGUCAAUCGUGGAUCAGGGAAAGCGAAGGCAGGAGCGUGAGGUGAACUGAAUUUCAGGUAAGAAGUUAUGACCUGCAGUCUAUUUGGGUCAGAUAUAAACCGAGUUUAGGUGUAGUUUAUUUAGCAACAGUUCUCUUACGUGUUGCUGAUAGCCGGCUGGCUAGCUAGCUAGCGCAGCUAGCGACCCUUCGUGAAAAACCACCCAGGCUUGACUGAUAGUGAGGUGGCUAAAAUUUGUUUAAUCGCCCGAUCGCUCGGCAAGGGUCUGUGUCUUAG
ensembl:lncRNA